AGAUAGUCAGCGAGACCUGUGAUGGGUGACGGCUGGGGGACAAACAGCAACCUUGGGAGCCAGACUAGCGAUUGAAAGAAGAAGAAGAAGAAGAAGAAG
rnacentral:ribozyme from 1 species